CGGCUGGGCCGGUGCAGCGCGUCGGUCGGACAACGGGUCAGGACCGGAAGGUAGCAGCCCACCCGGCACGGCCCGCGUGCAGCGUCAACCUGGUUGUC
rnacentral:SRP_RNA from 1 species